rnacentral:rRNA from 1 species
GAUGAACGCUGGCGGCGUGCCUAAUACAUGCAAGUCGAGCGAACAGAUCAGGAGCUUGCCGCUCUGACGUUAGCGGCAGGCGGGUGAGUAACGUGUGGAUAACCCCCCUCUCAGACUGGGAUAACCUCGGAAAACCGGCUCUAAUACCGGAUAAUAUCUUGACCCGCAGCGUUCGUUGGUAAAAUUUGCUUUUAAGGAUACUUUUGCAUGGUUCCGCGCCGUUUUUGCUAGUGUGUAUGGUCACGGCUUACCAAGGCAACGAUGCGUAGCCGACCGGGGAGGGUGAUAGGCCACACUGGAAGUGAGACAGCGUCCAGGCUCCUAAGGGAGGCAGCAGUAGGGAACGGUCGGCAACGGGGGAAAGCCUGACGGAGCAACGCCGCGUGAGUGACGAAGGUCUUCGGAUCGUAAAACUGUGUUAUGGGUGAAGAACAAAUGUGUGAGUGGAAAUGGAGAUCUUGACGGUACCUGAAGAGAAAGCCACGGCUAACUACGUG